GCGAGUGCGGUGCCCUGCGCGGCGGAAGGGCCCCGGCCGCGGGAUCUGCGCACUGGGACGUCGUUGCGAGGCUGGAGGCAGAGCUCUCGCCAGCGCGGAAGGCCACCGCUCCGCGAGCAGGCGGGAGGGACGAAGCCCCGGGCCUGCGCCGGGGGCUUUCAAGAGGGAAGCCAGGUCCGACCGGGGGGUGGCGCAGGCUUCCCGAACCCCGGGCCCGCGCCCCGGCUCCGCGCGGGCACUUGGCGCCCCCUCGGAUUGAGAAACGGAAAUACCACCACCGUUCAGCCAAUCUGCUGGGAGGACUGCUUGCAGGGGACUCGUGCUCCAGAUGUUGCACUAGAGGCGCUGCAAGUGUGAGCAGCAGGUAG
rnacentral:lncRNA from 1 species